AUCACCUGGGGAUCUUGUUAAAAUGCAAUUCUAAUUCAGUAAGUCUUGGGCAGGACCCAAGAUUAUGCAUUUCUGACAAUCUCUCAGGUGUUGCUGA
rfam:Mustela putorius furo unplaced genomic scaffold scaffold00180, whole genome shotgun sequence.